UACGUAGGGGGCAAGCGUUGUCCGGAAUCAUUGGGCGUAAAGAGCGUGUAGGCGGUCCGGUAAGUCCGCUGUGAAAGUCCAGGGCUCAACCCUGGAAUGCCGGUGGAAACUGUCGGGCUAGAGUCCGGAAGAGGCGAGUGGAAUUCCUGGUGUAGCGGUGAAAUGCGCAGAUAUCAGGAGGAACACCAAUGGCGAAGGCAGCUCGCUGGGACGGUACUGACGCUGAGACGCGAAAGCGUGGGGAGCAAACAGG
rnacentral:rRNA from 1 species